GUGCUUGCUUCAGCAGCACAUUUACAAAAAAUUGGAAUGAUACACAAAAGAUCAACAUGGCCCUUGCAUAAAUAUCACAUACAACUGAGUGAAACUAUCUAUAUUAAA
rnacentral:snRNA from 1 species